rnacentral:rRNA from 1 species
GAUGAACGCUGGCGGCGUGCUUAACACAUGCAAGUCGAACGAAGCACUUUAUUUGAUUUCCUUCGGGACUGAUUAUUUUGUGACUGAGUGGCGGACGGGUGAGUAACGCGUGGGUAACCUGCCUUGUACAGGGGGAUAACAGUUGGAAACGGCUGCUAAUACCGCAUAAGCGCACGGCAUCGCAUGAUGCAGUGUGAAAAACUCCGGUGGUAUAAGAUGGACCCGCGUUGGAUUAGCUAGUUGGUGAGGUAACGGCCCACCAAGGCGACGAUCCAUAGCCGACAUGGGAGGGUGACCGGCCACAUUGGGAAUGAGACACGGCCCAAACUCGUACGGGAGGCAGCAGUGGGGAAUAUUGCACAAUGGGCGAAAGCCUGAUGCAGCGACGCGGCGUGAGCGAAGCAGUAUUUCGGUAUGUAAAGCUCUAUCAGCAGGGAAGAUAAUGACGGUACCUGACUAAGAAGCACCGGCUAACUACGUG